rnacentral:rRNA from 1 species
UACGUAGGUGGCAAGCGUUGUCCGGAUUUAUUGGGCGUAAAGAGCGUGUAGGCGGUUCGGUAGGUCCGUUGUGAAAACUCGAGGCUCAACCUCGAGACGCCGAUGGAAACCCCCGAACUAGAGUCCGGAAGAGGAGAGUGGAAUUCCUGGUGUAGCGGUGAAAUGCGCAGAUAUCAGGAAGAACACCCGUGGCUAAGGCGGCUCUCUAGUACGGUACUGACGCUGAGACGCGAAAGCGUGGGGAGCGAACAGG